rnacentral:rRNA from 1 species
CCUACGGGAGGCAGCAGUGAGGAAUAUUGGUCAAUGGCCGUAAGGCUGAACCAGCCAAGUCGCGUGAAGGAAGAAGGAUCUAUGGUUUGUAAACUUCUUUUAUAGGGGAAUAAAGGUAUCCACGUGUGGAUCUUUGCAUGUACCCUAUGAAUAAGCAUCGGCUAACUCCGUGCCAGCAGCCGCGGUAAUACGGAGGAUGCGAGCGUUAUCCGGAUUUAUUGGGGUUAAAGGGUGCGUAGGUUGUUUUUUAAGUCAGCGGUGAAAGUUUGUGGCUCAACCAUAAAAUUGCCGUUGAAACUGGAAGACUUGAGUGUGUUUGAGGUAGGCGGAAUGCGUGGUGUAGCGGUGAAAUGCAUAGAUAUCACGCAGAACUCCGAUUGCGAAGGCAGCUUACUAAGCCAUAACUGACACUGAAGCACGAAAGCGUGGGGAUCAAACAGGAUUAGAUACCCGGGUAGUC